UACGUAGGGUGCAAGCGUUGUCCGGAAUUAUUGGGCGUAAAGAGCUCGUAGGCGGUCUGUCGCGUCUGCUGUGAAAACUCAGGGCUUAACCCUGAGCUUGCAGUGGGUACGGGCAGACUAGAGUGCGGUAGGGGGAGACUGGAAUUCCUGGUGUAGCGGUGAAAUGCGCAGAUAUCAGGAGGAACACCGAUGGCGAAGGCAGCUCGCUGGGGACGGUACUGACGCU
rnacentral:rRNA from 1 species